rnacentral:rRNA from 1 species
GAUGAACGCUGGCGGCGUGCCUAAUACAUGCAAGUCGAGCGAAUGGAUUAAGAGCUUGCUCUUAUGAAGUUAGCGGCGGACGGGUGAGUAACACGUGGGUAACCUACCCAUAAGACUGGGAUAACUCCGGGAAACCGGGGCUAAUACCGGAUAACAUUUUGAACCGCAUGGUUCGAAAUUGAAAGGCGGCUUCGGCUGUCACUUAUGGAUGGACCCGCGUCGCAUUAGCUAGUUGGUGAGGUAACGGCUCACCAAGGCAACGAUGCGUAGCCGACCUGGGAGGGUGAUCGGCCACACUGGGACUGAGACACGGCCCAGACUCCUACGGGAGGCAGCAGUAGGGAAUCUUCCGCAAUGGACGAAAGUCUGACGGAGCAACGCCGCGUGAGUGAUGAAGGCUUUCGGGUCGUAAAACUCUGUUGAUAGGGAAGAACAAGUGCUAGUUGAAUAAGCUGGCACCUUGACGGUACCUAACCAGAAAGCCACGGCUAACUACGUGCCAGCAGCCGCCGUAA